AGUGAACGCUGGCGGUAGGCCUAACACAUGCAAGUCGAACGGCCGCACAGUAAGAGCUUGCUCUUACGGGUGGCGAGUGGCGGACGGGUGAGGAAUACAUCGGAAUCUACUUUUUCGUGGGGGAUAACGUAGGGAAACUUACGCUAAUACCGCAUACGACCUACGGGUGAAAGCAGGGGAUCUUCGGACCUUGCGCGAUUGAAUGAGCCGAUGUCGGAUUAGCUAGUUGGCGGGGUAAAGGCCCACCAAGGCGACGAUCCGUAGCUGGUCUGAGAGGAUGAUCAGCCACACUGGAACUGAGACACGGUCCAGACUCCUACGGGAGGCAGCAGUGGGGAAUAUUGGACAAUGGGCGCAAGCCUGAUCCAGCCAUACCGGGUGGGUGAAGAAGGCCUUCGGGUUGUAAAGCCCUUUUGUUGGGAAAGAAAAGCAGCAGGUUAAUACCCCGCUGUUCUGACGGUACCCAAAGAAUAAGCACCGGCUAACUUCGUG
rnacentral:rRNA from 1 species